CAAAUUCCUGGGCUCAAGUGAUCCUCCUGCCUCAGCCUCCCAGGUAACAAUCCUUGAGUAUUUCCUGCUUCUUGGGCCUCUCCCUGGUGGAUUGCUGUGAAGAAGAAUCAACAAUAGCAAACAGGGAGAAAUUGACAGUACAGUUAGCAUUUAUGCCUUAUCCAUACAUGAUUUGGGACAGUUUUGCCAAACAUUGAAUAAUUUUCCUGUGGGAAACUUGAGCCCUAAAAGGAAAUGAACAUAGCUAAAGUGCUGCAUAUCACAUGGGACUUAGAUUUAUUUUUAGAAUGGCACUAUAAUGCCAUAUUUGGAUUGAAACAAUGUGAUAGCUGUACAUGGUUUUAUUAGAAAGCCAUCUUUUCUGAGAAAGUCAUCUUUUUUAUUACAUUAUAUGCUAUAGAUUGAAUCUGAUACUUAUAUAGCCAUUCAACCAAUACUGUUUUAAAGUAUACAAUAAAAUUAGAGGUACUUACUUGGCAAACAUUUUUAGAGCCAGCAUACUAAGUUUGAUUUCUUUAAUAAAGAUUCUGUGGCAGUUCACUGA